rnacentral:tRNA from 1 species
GCGUCAGUGGUUUAGUGGUGAAAUCCAUCGUUGCCAUACGCAACACUCGAUGGGUCCCGCGCUCGAUUCGCGGCUGACGCA